GAGUUUGAUCGUGGCUCAGAUUGAACGCUGGCGGCAUGCCUUACACAUGCAAGUCGAACGGCAGCAUGAUCUAGCUUGCUAGAUUGAUGGCGAGUGGCGAACGGGUGAGUAAUACAUCGGAACGUGCCCUGUAGUGGGGGAUAACUAGUCGAAAGAUUAGCUAAUACCGCAUACGACCUGAGGGUGAAAGUGGGGGACCGCAAGGCCUCAUGCUAUAGGAGCGGCCGAUGUCUGAUUAGCUAGUUGGUGGGGUAAAGGCCCACCAAGGCGACGAUCAGUAGCUGGUCUGAGAGGACGAUCAGCCACACUGGGACCGAGACACGGCCCAGACUCCUACGGGAGGCAGCAGUGGGGAAUUUUGGACAAUGGGCGAAAGCCUGAUCCAGCAAUGCCGCGUGUGUGAAGAAGGCCU
rnacentral:rRNA from 1 species